UAGAAGGAGGCGAUCACCAGUAUCAAAGGCAGCAGCAGAGAGGUGAAGAUGGACAAAGGAGUGAGAAAAGGCCAUUCAAUGUGGCAAGAUUACUGGUUAAUUUGGAGCAAACAGGUUCAGUUGCAGGUUUAGCAUGGGAGGAGAGGAAGUGAAAGCACUGAUUAGACAUGGCUUUCUCAAGGAGUAGAGGGGACAAAGAAAUACAGGCUAGGUAGCAGAGAGGGCUAUACAGAGAGGGCACUAUCUGUAUCACAUACAGAUAGUGUCAAAGGUGGGAUUUGAACCUGGGCCCUGUCUCCAAAUCCUGUGCUUCCUUCCUGUUUCCUUCCUGCACCACUGCCAGCUCCCUCUACCCAAAUAAGAUCCAGGACACCAGUCCAGGCAGGAUCAGGGACCUCUCUCACCCCUACCCUGGAUGAAGCGUACCCUGCUGCUGCCGCCCGGGUCGGCCCAGUAAGGGGAGGGGACCUGAUUUAAAGGACCCACUGCUAUCCCAGCUGUCUGUGAGUCGUGGGCGGGCAGCCGAAGACCGCCACCAAGAAGACAAAGCCACCCCACCCCCACCCCCAGCCCUAGGCCAAUCAUGCGCUUUGGACGACUGACCCCCGGCUAUUUUCGGAUGCUAGAGAUGCAAGUGGCUGGGGAGCUGGAGGCAGAACCCCGGAACAAACUGGUGGGCACCCUGGCCACACUGCUGGCUGUGUUCGGCCUAGGUCUCUCCUUCUACAGUGUCCGGCAGCUGGUAGGUCAAGGGAAGUCCCCGAAGACCCCAUGACAGGACAGGAAGCCCCUGGAAGUCUGGGGGGCAGCAUCUAUCUCACCCAAUAUCCAGAGGAAGAACUCUUCCUGUCUCUACCAUCCCCUUCUGCCCCACCCCAUCAGAUGGUGGCCCCAGCAGGCUAGGAGGCCAAAGGGAAGAGGAUGGGGUACAGGGAGCAUAUCCAUGCCUACCUAGGCUGGAGAAGUGGGAGCCCUGGAUGGAAUAAAGCUGGAAAACUGCAAGGUGCAGACACAGAAGACAUGCCAUGACUGGGGCUCCAUCCGGUGACAUGCGUCCAAAGCAAAGUAACGGGGAGGGAAGGGUUCUCAUUCCCUUCCCGAAGGUUCAGCAUGUGGCUAGCCCAUGGGCAAGCAGAAAAGUCU